rnacentral:rRNA from 1 species
GACGAACGCUGGCGGCGUGCUUAACACAUGCAAGUCGAACGGAAAGGCCCUGCUUUUGUGGGGUGCUCGAGUGGCGAACGGGUGAGUAACACGCGAGUAACCUGCCCUUGACUUUGGGAUAACUUCAGGAAACUGGGGCUAAUACCGGAUAGGAGCUCCUGCUGCAUGGUGGGGGUUGGAAAGUUUCGGCGGUUGGGGAUGGACUCGCGGCUUAUCAGCUUGUUGGUGGGGUAGUGGCUUACCAAGGCUUUGACGGGUAGCCGGCCAGGGGGGGUGACCGGCCAGAUGGGGACGGAGGAACGGCCCAGGCCCGGAGGGGGGGGAGGAGGGGGGAAUAUGGCCAAAGGGGGGGAAGCCUGAUGAAGCAACGCCGCGUGGGGGAUGAGGGCCUUCGGUUUGAAAACCGCUUUCGCCUGUGACGAAGCGUGGGUGACGGUAAUGGGUAAAGAAGCACCGGCUAACUACGG